GAUGAACGCUGGCGGCGUGCCUAAUACAUGCAAGUCGAGCGAACAGACGAGGAGCUUGCUCCUCUGACGUUAGCGGCGGACGGGUGAGUAACACGUGGAUAACCUACCUAUAAGACUGGGAUAACUUCGGGAAACCGGAGCUAAUACCGGAUAAUAUAUUGAACCGCAUGGUUCAAUAGUGAAAGACGGUUUUGCUGUCACUUAUAGAUGGAUCCGCGCCGCAUUAGCUAGUUGGUAAGGUAACGGCUUACCAAGGCGACGAUGCGUAGCCGACCUGAGAGGGUGGACGGGCACACUGGAACUGGAGAACGGUCCAAGAUCCUGAGGGGAGGCAGAAGUAGGGAACCUCCCGCAAGGGGCGAAAGCUGGCCGGAGAAACGCCGCGUGAGUGAGGAAGGCCUCCGGACGGUAAACCUUUGUUAUUAGGGAGAACAAAUGUGUAAGUAACUAUGCACGUCUUGACGGUACCUAAUCAGAAAGCCACGGCUAACUACGUG
rnacentral:rRNA from 1 species